CGUGGCAACGUCAUUUCACUGCGUCUACCUUUAACAAACCAGCUUAGUAGACACUUUCAGGAUAUUGUAAAUCCUGUAAGGAGGGCUUGGGCUUUCCAGUGGCCUUGCAUUCCCACACCAGAGAGUCGUCAAUGGGCUUCUGCACAUCCUGGGGUUUCUCUAUCAGAUGUGGAGGGGCUGCAUGGUCAAAACAACAUGGCUGUGAAUUAGAACAUUCUCAUACAGAUCCCAUUUCUCGCAGCUCAGCAUUCAACAACAUAGUGCCCAGAAAGCUCAUCACUAAGCUAAGGACCCUGGGACUAAAUACCUCCCUCUGCAACUGGAUAAUGGACUUCCUGAUGGGCCGCCCUCACGUGGUAAGGGGAGACAACAACACAUCUGCCACGCUGAUACUCAAAACGGGGGCCCCUCAGGGGUAUGUGUUUAGUCCCCUCCUGUACUCCCUGUUCACACACGAUUGAGUGGCCAAGGCGACUCCAACACGAUCCUUAAGUUUGCUGACGACACAACAGUGGUAGGACUGAUCACCUACAACGAUGAGACAGCUUAUAGGGAUGAGGUCAGUGAUCUGGCAGUGUGGUGCCAGGACAACAACCUCUCGCUCAAUAUGAGCAAGACAAGGAGAUGAUCUCAGCCUCCAGUAUUUAUGCUGCAGUAGUUUAUGUGUCGGGGGGGUUAGGGUCAGUUUGUUAUAUCUGGAGUACUUCUCCUGUCCUAUCCGGUGUCCUGUGUGAAUUUAAGUAUGCUCUCUCUAAGUCUCUCUUUCUCUCUUUCUUUCUUUCUCUCUCUCGGAGGACCUGAGCCCUAGGACCAUGAGUCACCUGACAUGAUGACUCCUUGCUGUCCCCAGUCCACCUGGCCGUGCUGCUGCUCCAGUUUCAACUGUUCUGCCUGUGAUUAUUAUUAUUUGACCAUGCUGGUCAUUUAUGAACAUUUGAACAUCUUGGCCAUGUUCUGUUAUAAUCUCCACCCGGCACAGCCAGAAGAGGACUGGCCAUCUCACAUAGCCUGGUUCCUCUCUAGGUUUCUUCCUAGGUUUUGGCCUUUCUAGGGAGUUUUUCCUAGCCACCGUGCUUCUACACCUGCAUUGCUUGCUGUUUGGGGUUUUAGGCUGGGUUUCUGUACAGCACUUUGAGAUAUCAGCUGAUGAACGAAGGGCUAUAUAAAUAAAUUUGAUUUGAUGGUCGUGGACUACAGGAAAAGGAGGGCCGAACAUGCCCCCAUUAACAUCGACGGGGCUGUAAGUGGAGCAGAUCGAGAGUUUCAAGUUCCUUGGUGUCCACAUCACCAACAAACUAGAAUGGUCCAAACACACCAAUACACUAGUGAAGAGGGCACGACAACACCUUUUCCCCCUCAGGAGACUGAAAAGAUUUUCAGAUACUCAAAAAGUUAUACAGCUGGUAUGGCAACUGCUCGGUAUCCGAACUUAAGGCGCUACAGAGGGUAGUGCGUACGGCCCAGUAUAUCACUGGGGCCAAGCUUCCUGCCAUCUAGGACUUAUAUACUAGACAGUGACAGAAGUCCCCAAAAAUUGUCAAAGACUUCAGUACCCAAGUCAUAGACUAUUUUCUCUACUACCGCAUGGCAAGCAGUACAGGAGCACUAAGUCUAGGUUCAAAAGGUUCCUUAACAGCUUCUACCCCCAAGCCAUAAGACUGCUGAUCAAUUAAUAAAAUGGCCACCCAGACUAUAACAUUGACACCCCCCCUUUGUUUUUACACUGCUGCUACUCUCUGUUUAUUAUCUAUGCAUAGUCACUUUACCCCUAGCUACAUGUACAAAUUACCUCCACUAAACUGUAGCCCUGCACAUUUUCUCAGUACCGGUACCCCCUGUGUAUAGCCCCUGUAUUGUCAUAUUAUUGUGUUACUUUUUAGUUCAUUUUUUACUUUAGUUUAUUUAGUAAAUAUUUUCUUAACUCUUGUUUCUUGAACUGCAUUGUUGGUUAAGGGCUUGUGAGUAAGAAUUUCAAGGUAAGGUCUACACCUGUUGUACUCGGCGCAUGUGACAAACAACAUUUGAAUUGAAUUGAUAUUCAAAUGUGAUGGUAUUUGAUCACAUUAAAUCGCACAAGGGCCAGAAAAGGAACACAUGACCUAGAAAUAUACUGUUUGAUAAGGGUUGUAGUAGAGUUGCUGUAGAACUGGAUCUCACCAUCACUGCGCAGCACCAGAGGAGUGGGCGGGCCUUGGACCCUGGUCUUGGUGACCGUGUUGGUCACCACACAGGUGUAGUUGCCCACAUCAGAAGGCUCCACUUUAGCGAUGUAUAGAUUUCCAGUCUCCUGGGAGAUAAAGCGACGCGUGUCCUGCUUCACAAAUGAGGGGUACUCAUUAAAAAUCCAGGAGAACGUCAGAUCUGUGGAAAAAGGAUGACAUUUUUUUUUUUUUUUUUAAACGUGUGAGAUCAAAUUAAAUCUAAAAUUACACAGGGGUUAGAGGGUCAAGCUGACUCUCCUUCUUAUUAAAAUAAUAUCACGUGAAAAUACAGAAAAUA